CCAUUUAUGAACUAUAUUUCAGGUUCGCCAACUGUGUAAUAAUAAAAGAAAGUUGCAUUUUUGUAUCGGCGCGAAUUUAAAUAAGCAAUUAUAUUUUAACAUUCAUUUUUUUUUGUUUAUAUGAAGUUAUAGAGUUGAACAUCAAUUGAAAUGAUAUAAGAUAUUAAAUAAAGUGAUACAAAUUAAUCUAAUCUUGGAAAUCUUGUAAAAUGUUUUGUAUUACUCGAUUAAAAUUUUUCCAUAAAAAUAUUAUCUUAUUAAAUCGAUCAAUUUGUUUGGGACGUCCAUCUUUAAUUGAAAACAAAGCGUUAAGAAAUUUGAAAUUAAAACAAGCAAAAAUGCAGGUCAAAUAAUUUUAAUACGAAAUAAUGUGAUUUAUGAAAAAUAAAUAGUCGCGUUAUAUAAUUUAUAUAAAUUAUUUUUCAUUUAUUUAGUGUGAAGAUAAUGUUCCUGUAUUUCUGAAAUGCGGUUGGCGAGAUAAAAUAGUAUAUUGGAUAAUUUUAGCAUUUACUUUAUAUAAUACAGUAAUGACAUUUAGACAAUUGUUAUUAUUAAGUGAAAAAUUUCAGUGAUUGUAAAAAUUUUUCAUAAUCAAAAAUAAAUUGAAUAUUGAUUAAUUAUUAACUAAA